CCUAGCAUUUAGUUAUGACUAUCACACCUUUAUGGUGCUUAAAGGUCUGAUUUUUUUUUUACUUAGCUGUUUUUUUCCAUGUUGUUUGACAAAGUCGAAACUUUUAUUGUGGUAUCCACGGGUAUUCAUAUUAGUAUUAAUAUAUUUCAAAACGUUAUCUCACAGACAUUCGCCACUUCGCCAGUCAAAAUUAUGAACAACAAAUGAGCUACAUUGAUUGGUUCAAUGGUUGUUGUGAUAUAAAUAAAUAAAUGGCCUAUAAUAGUAUUGAUCUUAUAAUAUGAACAUACCACAUACGAGGACUUGGAUGGCACCGGGUCUUAUCCGAACUCACUAGAUAUGUUUAAUUUCUUCCUUAUUAUUAUUAUGUUUUUUUUUGGCUUAACAUUUUUAAUACCUACAUGUUUUGUAUUUAUUAUAGGA